rnacentral:lncRNA from 1 species
AACUUUAAUACAACUUUGUGGCAAAUGGAAGUGGCAUAGUAGCCUACAAGCCCUAAACCCUCUUCAAAGGUAAGGUUGGGAGGGCCUCAGCAGCUUAAAUACAACUUCUCUUCAACGUGUUUAUUUCCACAAUGAGCCAGCUGGAGAAUUCAAGUAGCCAUCUGCGACGGACUUGCUGGUCUGGGUCUGGUUUCCUCUUAUAAGAGCAAUGGUUUGAAUUUGUAACCCGGGACUUUGGAAACUUGGUGAGCAUGACCUGUGGAGGGAGCUGGGAGGAUGGGGAGCACCAUGCUGGUGUGCUGGGGAGCACCACGCUGGUGUGCUGGGGAGCACCACCCUGGUGUGCUGGGGAGCACCACCCUGGUGUGCUAGGGAGCACCACCCUGGUGUGUUGGGGAGCAUCACGCUAGUGUGCUGGUGUGCUUCGUCAUGGGUCCUGGGAUCUAGACUGUUCCCUUUGCUCUCUCCUUCUUUCACUGCAAACCUUGAGAAAUUUGGCUUCUUCUAGCAUCUUCAAGUCUCAACUCGAAUAGCCUGGGGGAACUUGCCAAUCGUAUGCAGCCUCUUCUGUUAGCUUUAUUGUUCCUGGCUGUUCAGUUUCCCAGAUGUUGAAGACAAGAUGUUGCAUACUGACACUGGAUAUCGGACCCAGUCUAUGCUUAGGUCAUCACUGUGAAAACAGAAGGAACUCAGAAAUCCAGACAACAGUUUUCAUGAAGCUGAUCAGCAGGAGCUUCCUCUGCCAGGCCUGCUCCCCAAAGGAAGAACGCUCAGAGCCAGGCCUUGGAGAUGAGAGAUGAGAUGCGUAAUGAAGAGCUGUUUGUUUUCUAGAGAUCUACAAGUCAAUUUGGGAUGCUUCAUCGGCCAAGUUUCUAUCUCUGUACUAGGCAACCAUUACAUGUUUACAGUUUGAAUAAAAUGUCCAUCCUUGCUUUCCA